rnacentral:lncRNA from 1 species
UCAUUUGUUCUUGGUAAUUUUUGUAUCAUUGUUUGGAAUCUUUGAUGAUCUUAGUUGAUUGGGAAGGCUAUUGACUCUGCUCCUUGUGUCGACGAGGCUACUUCCGCUAAGGUAGAUGCUAUUGCCAAAGGAUGCUGUGGUUAGUGUCGCGGCUUUUGAAGAGUUGCCGGUGGGGGUGCCGCUUGUAGACUCAGGAGCAGCCUCUGAGCCUG